rnacentral:rRNA from 1 species
UGAUUAGUGGCGGACGGGUGAGUAACAUUUAGGAAUCUGCCUAGUAGUGGGGGAUAGCUCGGGGAAACUCGAAUUAAUACCGCAUACGACCUACGGGUGAAAGGGGGCGCAAGCUCUUGCUAUUAGAUGAGCCUAAAUCAGAUUAGCUAGUUGGUGGGGUAAAGGCCCACCAAGGCGACGAUCUGUAACUGGUCUGAGAGGAUGAUCAGUCACACCGGAACUGAGACACGGUCCGGACUCCUACGGGAGGCAGCAGUGGGGAAUAUUGGACAAUGGGGGCAACCCUGAUCCAGCCAUGCCGCGUGUGUGAAGAAGGCCUUUUGGUUGUAAAGCACUUUAAGCAGGGAGGAGAGGCUAAUGGUUAAUACCCAUUAGAUUAGACGUUACCUGCAGAAUAAGCACCGGCUAACUCUGUGCCAGCAGCCGCGGUAAUACAGAGGGUGCGAGCGUUAAUCGGAAUUACUGGGCGUAAAGCGAGUGUAGGUGGCUCAUUAAGUCACAUGUGAAAUCCCCGGGCUUAACCUGGGAACUGCAUGUGAUACUGGUGGUGCUAGAAUAUGUGAGAGGGAAGUAGAAUUCCAGGUGUAGCGGUGAAAUGCGUAGAGAUCUGGAGGAAUACCGAUGGCGAAGGCAGCUUCCUGGCAUAAUAUUGACACUGAGAUUCGAAAGCGUGGGUAGCAAACAGGAUUAGAUACCCUGGUAGUCCACGCCGUAAACGAUGUCUACUAGCCGUUGGGGUCCUUGAGACUUUAGUGGCGCAGUUAACGCGAUAAGUAGACCGCCUGGGGAGUACGGCCGCAAGGUUAAAACUCAAAUGAAUUGACGGGGGCCCGCACAAGCGGUGGAGCAUGUGGUUUAAUUCGAUGCAACGCGAAGAACCUUACCUGGUCUUGACAUAGUGAGAAUCCUGCAGAGAUGCGGGAGUGCCUUCGGGAAUUCACAUACA